AUGGGCGCAAGCCUGAUGCAGCGACUCCGCGUGAGGGAUGAAGGCCUUCGGGUUGUAAACCUCUUUCAGUAGGGAAGAAGCCGGUCCUUCGGGGUUGGUGACGGUACCUGCAGAAGAAGCGCCGGCUAACUACGUGCCAGCAGCCGCGGUAAUACGUAGGGCGCAAGCGUUAUCCUGAAUUAUUGGGCGUAAAGAGCUCGUAGGCGGUUUGUCGCGUCUGCCGUGAAAGUCCGGGGCUUAACCCCGGAUCUGCGGUGGGUACGGGCAGACUAGAGUGCAGUAGGGGAGACUGGAAUUCCUGGUGUAGCGGUGAAAUGCGCAGAUAUCAGGAGGAACACCGAUGGCGAAGGCAGGUCUCUGGGCUGUAACUGACGCUGAGGAGCGAAAGCAUGGGGAGCGAACAGGAUUAGAUACCCUGGUAGUCCAUGCCGUAAACGUUGGGCACUAGGUGUGGGGGACAUUCCACGUUUUCCGCGCCGUAGCUAACGCAUUAAGUGCCCCGCCUGGG
rnacentral:rRNA from 2 species